rnacentral:tRNA from 1 species
GGGGUUGUAGCUCAGUGGUAGAGCGCUCGCCUAGCAUGUGCGAGGCCCUGGGUUUGAUCCUCAGAACCACA